rnacentral:lncRNA from 1 species
CGAACUUAAAGAAGAUCAUCCAUAAGAGUUGACGUUGUGGGUUGAUACUAGAGGGUGUUGAAAUAAAGAAAUUUGCUGAGUUUGUGAAUAAAUGUGUGUAGGUUGGGCAAGUGCUUCGGAUAGUAGACACAUUUUGGCGAUUUUUUGGGGAUCAAUGUCUAUUAAUUCGUGAUGUUUCGGGUCUAUUGUUGGAAUGUUCGAGGGCUUAAUGA